rnacentral:rRNA from 1 species
AUUGAACGCUGGCGGCAUGCCUUACACAUGCAAGUCGAACGGCAGCACGGGUGCUUGCACCUGGUGGCGAGUGGCGAACGGGUGAGUAAUACAUCGGAACAUGUCCUGUAGUGGGGGAUAGCCCGGCGAAAGCCGGAUUAAUACCGCAUACGAUCUACGGAUGACAGCGGGGGACCUUCGGGCCUCGCGCUAUAGGGUUGGCCGAUGGCUGAUUAGCUAGUUGGUGGGGUAAAGGCCUACCAAGGCGACGAUCAGUAGCUGGUCUGAGAGGACGACCAGCCACACUGGGACUGAGACACGGCCCAGACUCCUACGGGAGGCAGCAGUGGGGAAUUUUGGACAAUGGGCGAAAGCCUGAUCCAGCAAUGCCGCGUGUGUGAAGAAGGCCUUCGGGUUGUAAAGCACUUUUGUCCGGAAAGAAAUCCUUGGCCCUAAUACGGUCGGGGGAUGGCGGUACCGGAAGAAUAAGCACCGGCUAACUACGUG